GAUUAAAAAAUAUCAGAUGUUCAACCCGACCACAUGAUUGUGGCACAAAAAGGAUAAAAAAUGAUAUUCUAUUCUAUAUAUACUAAAGCUCAGUGGAUGGGUACUGUUCAUUAACAGUGCCCAUCCGGUUUUACCCCUCUUUCAUUUUUGUUUGCAGUUGUUGCUCCCGUUUGAAAGGUGCUUUUUGGUGUUUGGUUGAGCUUUGGCCACGUUGCGUUUUGUAGGAAAGAUACUGGAAGAGCAUUACACCUUUACUUCCACUUCCAACAUCUUCCACUUUUUCAUUUCCUUUUCUUUUCUUCUCUGUUUUUCCGUCUCUCUUUGCGUUUCUCUGUGUGUGACUCGCUAUUUUCAUCACGAUCCGAUCGUUUAGAAGGGUGGUUGGUCUGUUUUUUUCCGCUGUUUUCCGCGGAGGAAUAGCAACGGUUUGGGUGCGUUGGUUGCUGUGUGCCGUUAUUCUGUGCUUGGUUGGAAACGUUUAUCUUCCAACUUUAGGGUUUUGUUGUGGGAGUUUGCAAACCCUUUCUGGGCCAGGUUGAUCAUGUUGUUUCAUUUUGUGAAACAGUGUAGCCUUUGUCAAUCAAAUGCUUUGCUGAAAUAUCCAAUAAGAAGAAUAAAAUAACUAUGAUUGCAGAGCCAUUGGAGAGAGGACUUGCUGAGGACAUUGAGAAUGUAUAUAAGCUACAAUGUUCGUUUCUACAUUGCAGUGAACGCUUAAAGGAAAAUGUGCUCUUAUGGGAUAUUCCAUGUUCAAGUAAUUAUACAAAUGAAGCACUGGGAUGACUGUUAAUGAGGAAUACUAGACUAGCCAUUUUUGUAUAUCAAUGACAAGGCAUUUGACAAUGUCUUUUCUGUAAGUUAUAUAAACUUAGACAAUUUUGUAAAAAUAUUUGCUCCAUUUUCUACAUGCUUAUCUUA